GUGAACAUGUUUUAUGAAGCAAAGAAUUCUAGCUAAAAACCCUAAUUCCAAGGUUUUACAUAUUUUUAAACAAAUGUUUUAAAUAAGAAAAAAAGAAACCCCGAAAUUAAAUUAAUAAAUAAAUAAAAUUAAUAAAGGUAAUAAAAUAGCUGAUGUAGACUUAUAGCUAUAAGAAGGGCUUGGACCUUUCUCUAUGAAAGUGUGUAUGACCCUCUGGGGUAAUAUAUUGCACUAAAGCCUUUCUAAGAAGGAUUGUAAGCAAAAAUGUAUAGAAGAAAUUAAUAACACACAAUGUCAUCAGGGAAUCACAUUGUGUUAACACAGGCACCAUGCGUAUUUUCUUUUUAAUGCCCUCCACAUCAAAAGAAUAAUUUAUUCAUUGAGAAUGAAUUUACCAGAGUACAGGCAAGAACCUUAUUUUCCCAUCCUCCCCUGAGGCCGUCAUGGCUGACUUGUGUCAUAUUUACUGUGUAAUUGAUUUUUAAAUGCAUUCUUCAUCUUGCUUGCCUCCUGUUUCCCCACCCAGAGCCACUGAUCUCCCUGCACUCUUCUGCCCAUCUCCUUUCUUUGUCAUAAAGGAGCGGAGUUUGAUAAAGAGCAAAUUUUCUCUCCUUUUCAUUAUCACUCGCUCUCUCUACCUCAUUUGCCACCGCCGAGAAGACACUCUUAGGGAUCCGGAGCUGAGAGGGAACGACAGAGGGGAGUGACGCAAGACCUCACACUUGCAGUUUUGGGCGAUGACCAGCAGAGGGAGAUGACCAUCAACCUCAAACCACCCUCUGAAGAGUGCAGAAGCACAGACUGAAUCGAUUGUAAUUAUCUAGUCAUGAUGUCUUACAGACAUCAGUGGGCAGUUGGGUCGCCGGGUUUCUCCUGGUUUUUUCUACACCCCCCUCAUUCUCCCUCUUUGGUUGGAGUUUGGCAGACUCAGCAGAACAGGAGCAACGCUACAGUCACUGACCUUCAGGGGCGAGAGAGGGAGGUGCGGCCAGACAGAGGGGUGUGUGAGAGAGAGAGAGAGAGAGAGAGAGAAAGAGAGCCAUUGGCAGCUGCAAGGAAAUGCUUUACAUGAAUGCUAGGGCACAGGCCACAGUGGUUCAACAACAGAUUAUGUGACCUGCUGCUGCCCUCACCUCUUUUGCUUUCUUUCUUUUUUUCUUUAGUUUUUUUUUUUUUUUUCACUGUAUUGUUCUUUCUCUUUAACCUCUGCCUGUACUUCCAAGACCCCAUAAAACAAAAAUCAAAGACCACACAAAAAAAAAAAAAAAAAAAAAAAUGAUGGAAAUUUCUACCAAAAGCACAAUGACACAUUUAUAUAGAUAAUAUAAAAUACUUAAUGGCUAUAUUGACCAGGACUUUAUAGUUACAUAAACGCAAAACACUCAUUUUGAGUUUGCAUCAUAAGGGACUUACAGAAUAUGGAUUAGUGGGGUAAUGAAACAAACUGAGAUUUCAUUUGUAAAUAAUAUAUUACCUGGGACUUUGCCCAUGGGUAACUAAUUACCAACACUAACACUCAUAAGGCAUUAAACUAAUGGAUGCAUACAUAAACAUGUACACAUUGGUUUCCACAGAUGUCUAAAAUUUCAUUUACAUUUAUAUUUAAUCAUUUAGCAGAUGCUUUUUAUCCAAAGUGACUUAGAAAUGAGGAAAAGUACUAGCAAUUUAUCAUACAAGAGAGUAUACAAAAGCUGGAGAAAAAAUGCAAGAAGUACAGGAAAAAGAAGAAAAAAUAAGUUUCCGGUAUGCCACGUAAAACUGGCCUCAUGAAAGAAAAUGCUCAGCAAGCUCAACUAAAAAGAGAAAGUCUUCAUGGACUACAUUGUACACUGUAAAAAAUAUUUUGCAGUUUAGUUGUUUCAAUUAAUUUUUUUUUUAAGUUGACAACUUGCAGUUUAUGAAUUUGUUCAUUCAACUUAAUAUUUUACAUUUUCACUGUCUCAACUAGUUCGUAAGUUGACAAAACUAGCUAAUUGCCCCCUCAGCUUAAAAAAAAAAUGUGUUUUCAAAUUAAUAACGAUUUCACGAUCUUAACGUCACUUAUCGCAAGAUCUCGUGAAGACCAUUGCAGAAAGAAGACGUUCGACUGCCAUCUUGGUGAGCUUCUCCAGAGAGUUUGAAAAUGUUCUCAAACAACAAAUUUGGUAAGUAAUUAUUUGUAUUUAUUGUAUUAAUAUGUGUACAAUUAUGUAUAGAAAAAGAUCAAUCAGUAUUUCUGAAUUUAAAAAAUGGAUAAUACAGUUUUUUUUAAAUACUUGUUUAUUAAGCUUUUCUAUUACAUAUGCAUGGCUAUUUAAAGAGAAAUAACAUUUUAUAAAAUGUUUGAUAAUGUAGGACUAAUAUUAAUUUCCCCCAGUAGUUUUUAAUCAUGUUCCCAUAAAAAAGUGUAUAUUCUGUGUUUACAAUGUUAUCAACAAUAGAAUUUUAUGAUGUAUUAUUUUGCUUAUAUCUAACCCAAAUGCAUGAGAAAACAUGAGUAUGUUAUGAAUAUCUUACAAAUUCAUAUGAUGUGAUUGGUAGGAAUAAAAACUAAAUUCUGGUUCCAAUAAUUCCCAGAUUUGACGUUGGACAUCAAGCUGCUCAAGUACCAAACUCAUAUUU
ensembl:lncRNA